UCCAUGUGCAGAAAGGAAACUGGACCCUCCCUCAGCCCAGACCCAAAGAUCAAUUCCAGAUGAAAACCUAAGGAGGAACUACAAAACAUCAACUUUCAGAAGAAAAACAGAGCCAAGUAUGUUAGUGACCUUGGAGUAUGGAGAGAUUUCUUAAGCAUAAACUGUAACGGAAAGAAUGUGAUAAAUCCCAUUAGAUUAAAAUCAAGAACUGGCCAUCAAAAGACACGACUGAAAAAACUGGAACACCACAAGCUUGGGAGGAAAAGUCUGCAAUACACACAACCAAAGUCUUUGUCAAGAUCCUGCGAGGUGGGUGACAUAACAUCAGUAACAGUGGCAUCAAUCAAAGAAUUUACAACAUGCCAAGUGCGUGACCUUCAGCAAUGUUGUCCUGCUCAUGAUUUAUAAACAUGAAGGCAGAGCCCACCAUGAUUAUGUGAUGGGCUGAAAAGGAUGGGACCAGGUCGGGACACGCGUGUUCCAACGUCCACUGGUUCUGUUUCCCCGUCUGUACCCGGCGCUGGAGUUCUCCUCUGGACCCCAAGCAGCCUGCUGUGACGCACUGAUGUCUCAAAAUCAACUAUCAAGUGCAUCACACAAGUAACAACAGUGAGGCCCAAAUAAUGAAGAUACUACAGAUGGAGAGAUGCCCCAAGAGUAUGGACACUGAAUGCACACUGAGAUGUGCUUAAGGGACCUUCCCAGAGAGGUCGAUCAGGGCUGACAGAUGAGAACACGCGCCGGUCUAUUCUGGUCUCAGAGCAUUGUUAACGACAAAGAAUGUUUUCAAGAAAGAGGCAGCUCAGCCAGUGUGCAAAGUGAUCUGGGAACUGAUUUCCUAACUCCGUAACAGCACAACGUGGUCCUGGCCUGGGGGUGGAGAAGCAGCAGGGAGGCCUGGGGGAAAGGACACAGGGCUGCAAUCACAGGAAAGAGGGGGAGGGAGGAGGGUGCAGGUCCUGACAGAGGACCUACUAUGCGCUGGACUGUGCCCAGAGCUUUACACACAUCGUGUCACUUAAGCUCCACAACAGCCCUGGGAGGGAGGCACUGUCACAACUCUCCUUUUACCACCUGGGACACCAGGCUCAGAGCGUAGACAUAACUUGGAAGGCACUUUUGGUUUCAGGCCACACACACAAAAUAGUGGGAAAUCUCUGCUUUUGGUACACGGGCAGAUACCACAACUAAU